rnacentral:lncRNA from 1 species
UACCUGAGAGCCCUGAGCAUCUCUGGAUUACCUAUGAGGCUCAAAUUAGCUGCAAAUCAAAAGUCUAGCUUGUCCCAGCAGGGUACAGAGCCUUUACAGAGAAUUCAGCUCUACUUCUGUUACUCCAGCAAGCUAAGAACAUUGAGUCAUAAAUGUGACAAAGAACUUGUCCAAAGUUAUGGAAUUAGACACCAAAGCCAGCCUUGCCUUGGCUCUUGAGCCUAGAGCCCUCAGCUUAAUACUAUUGCUCAUGACAAAAAGCUAAGAAAGGGACCCAUGGGAUGGCUCAAUGGUUAGAGCUCUUGCCAGGCAAUCUUGAGGACUUCAGUUUGGAUCUCUAGACACAAUGCUUGACUGCAAGGGUCUCAUAAAGCCCAAAUUUGGCUGCUCUGCAUGUAGCUGAAGGAGAGAGGAGCAGAAAUCCUACAGGGAGAUUUGCACCCCCUACUCCACCUUCCAGAGUUGUGGUCUGAGCACCACACGGCACUCCUUUCAAGCAGGGGCUUCAGGAAACAUCUGAUCCAUCCGAUCCGUUGCCUUUGAUCUUAGGCUUGGCUGAGGUAUGGAAGAAUGGAUUUGAACACCAGCGCCAUGGAAUAUACAGCCAUCUUUCACCUUGGGCUGAGGCG